AACAGUGGAAGUGGAGCUGAUCCAGUGGAAGCAGACUGGUCCCCAGUGACAGCGAGUGAAGAGAGACGCUCCUCAUCGCGGCCCUCGCUGCGAGUCUGCGCUUGUUAAUGCGAAGCAGCCGGGACCAAAAAAAGAACCGGACCCCUGACACUUGGCCUCAGAAACCUCUGGUAGUCGUCUAAAGGCGAUGUCAGAUCACUUUGUCCCUCUGAGAGUGUUUUCAUACAGUUUCAACACGUUGACAUCAUGCUGUCAGAAGGGCUGCCAGGUUGGAUCAGCGACACGAUGCUUCAUCGCAGCAAAAGGAACGCGCGCGAGUGAGUCGGGUUAUUUCCACUUCUACUUCCAGGCAGGUUGUCCUGCUUCUUACUGGUUUUACUGGAGCCCCACUUUAUUAGCAAUUACAAGUAAUUGUCCCUUGUGCACAGGAUGACGUAUUGUUCCUGAAAUAGACCCGGCGAAGCGUUUGAAUAGCUGUGUCCAGAUUAUUUCCAAGUCUGCCAAUAUUUAAAUGACAAAUAAUCCCAGGUUCUGGGAAAAGGAUGAUGUCGAAUGUUUUGUCUCCCGUUUUUUAAACUAAUCUUUCACGUUGGCAAGGCAGGAGCAUCACACACACACACACACACACACACACACACACACACACACACACACGCACACACUCGCAGCAGCUCGGCCUGAGUCUGGCUUCAACUCAUCUUCCAUCUUCUCCUUUAUUUCAUUUCAUGCCUCUACAUCAGCUGCUUGACUUUUAAUCGCCGUGUCCUCAUGCAAAUUGUGUGUUAAAUAAGGAAAGUCCAGCGAUCAGAGCACAGCGCCGCUGAGCACCUGAGCUCUCAGGUGUAACGCUGAGCCUCCUCGGCGACGGGGCUCGGCUCUCCUCUCUUGUUACCUGCUCCCGUCGCCGGACACGGAGAUCUUGUCCUGUUUUCAUUGUUCCACCACAGUCGAGGUGGCUUCAGUUACGCGUGUGCUUCGCCUACAUCACAUUAAUUAGACCGCUGCGGAGAACCGCUCAUGCGUGUGUCGUCUGAUCUCGACUGCACUUGUUAAAUUGCCGUCUGCAUUGAUUUCAGCAGCGCUUUCUCCAGUCACGUGUGGUCUUCUGCACAGUUUGUGCUGCAUUGUUUUUUCUUACGGCAGACCUGCUUAAACCGAGCAUAAGCCACCUCUGUAAUCUCAGGACGGGAGAAAAUUGUGUUGUGACGUAAGGAAUAAUCUCCUUGUUAGGAGAGAUUGCAUUCUGAGUGGAAAGAAGAAAUGACUUGAUAUUUUUAGAGCGAAGUAGCUGUUUGCUUAUUAGCAGCACAUGUGUCAAGUUUCAAAAUAAAAGUCUCUGUUUAGGUGUUUUUAAGACUAUUCAUGCGGCACAGGAAGCGAUUUCCUGGUCAUCUUAGACCUCAUCUGAGCAUUUUGGGUUCAGGUGGCUUGAGAUCCCAGGGACCCUCAGCAUCAGCAUCAGCAUCAGCAUCAGCAUCCCUGCAGCCGAGCGUCAGAAGCAUCACAGCAGCGGCGGCGAACGGUCCGAAGCCGCCGUAAUCGCGGCUAGAAAAGAUGAUUUCGACCAUCUGCUUUGUCUGGAGGGGAUUUGAUUGGCUUGCUGCAGCACAGAGGAGUGGAUGAGGAUGAUUACGCCACGCUGGUGUCCCGUUCCACUGGGUGCCAGGCUCAAUGUCACCACUGAUUGGAUCCUCUAAUCUCGUUCCGUGUGAAUUAAAUUUGAGGAGAGGAGGAGGAUGAUCCCAUUCGCUUUGCCUUCUGCCCCCGUUCUGUGCGUGCGUUGCUGCCCUCCACUUCCUUCGCCCCCUGUGAUUAACGGGUGCACGACGACACGACUGUUAUUGACAUCACUCAAUGCACCGGUGAAGCACAUUGUAAAUUCACCUCAAACACUCCGGUUGAAGACGAUGCUUUAUUGUGGAUGUUACAGUUUGUUCUGCAGAAUGACUCUUGAUGCCGAGUGGCAUUGGAAACGGUGGACAGAUUCUCCCAGAUGCCUGAUCCUCCGGGACUUUAGCUACAGUAGAUUGAUGGGACUGUGAGAGGCUAAUUUACAGUCCCAUGUUAAAAGUUUGGCCUAAAUAAGAGCAAUAAGAGCAACAAAAAAAAUUAUAUAUACAUAUAUCAUAUCUAUAUCUAUAUAUUAUAUCCUAGAAUAAAUAAAUGCCAGGAAUAAAAGCUGUUCUCAUCAUAACCUGUAUUGUAUUUUAUUUCUAUUUAUUGUAUUUUGUUUUUUACAGUAGGUGUGAAUGCUGCUUCGCUCAGAGGCGUCAGGCAUUUGGUGGAACGAGCCCCAUUCACAAAAAAAGAGGACGUGAAUGACUCCAUCCAGCGUCCACGUGUCUAGACGCCGAGUGUGCUGUUAUUCUCCUUCGCAGGCACAGAAACAACAGUGCGUUUGCGUCCCUCCAACAGCUGGAGCGACGCGCGAAAGUGUUGAGUUACGAUCAAAAAUAAUGAACCACCAUUAUGCUGGGCGGCGUUCGCCAGCUUGGCCGCUCUCCACGGUCAUAAAUAAGCCUUCUGGGAUCCGCAGUGGCAGUCGGUGUAUAAAGUGGUCUUCGGUGUAUAAACAUAGUGGCUGACUGGCAAGACCAGUUUGGUGGUAACCUUUAUCAGCGGAGGCCUGGACGCAGUUCAACGGUAUCGGUGUCUCCUCAGCUGUGCACAAACAAGCCGCUCUCAAAUACCCCCUGUCCUCAGUUGUCCGUCUUUGAAAUCACUCGUGAUUCUGACACUCUUUUUUUUGUUUACUUGACGAAACAGUAAAAAAAAAGAGCAAUUGGUCACUGGAUGGUUGCGUUUUCUGCUGAAAGACGGUGGUUUAGCGACGGCAUCCAUUCGAGGAUUCGAGGGGCGAGGAAGUGGAACGCCUUCUUCCAGGCGGAGGUGCCGCUGGUCGAGAGCCAGCUGUGGGAAUAAAGCGGGUAUCAACUGAGUUUCCUGGCUCUGGGUGGGCUUGUCAAGGACAGAGGGGCCACAGGCAGAAGGAUCAACGUCAGCAGAGCCGUCGCAACAACUGCAGACGCGCAUGUGUCAAUAAAAAAAGUGCAAGCUGCUAUGUGCUGGAGGCAUUUCCUGCCGCCCGGGAGAGCGGACGCGCCCACGCCGAAUAGACGCACGUUGUCUUUCAGCGGCUGGCGAUGGAAAGAGCCUGAAUCCCGUCCAACAUAUUGUACCUGCCUCCCCCGGGGGUCAUGGGACGCUCGGCUGUCAAGUGCAGCGUCGGAACGGGUGUGAGCAGGUGCGCGGGGAGAAGCGUGACCUCGUGUCAAUAAAGUUUACUGGAAGAAAUGGGGAAAAACGGGACGAAGCAUUCUUUCCAUUGCUGUCACUGGAAACGACUUCCAGCGGAGCUGACUGAUAUAGCAUGAGGGUCUCGGAGGGUUUUCCACAGCGCUGGAGUGCGUCAGUUUGGUGAAUUAUAGUAAAUGAUGGCGUGAGCUCUGACGGCCAGCCGUGUGGAAUUUGGGCCACAGUUCCAAAUUAGACGCGCAGCAUGUGUGUCCGCGGCUAAAACCGUCGGCCGGCUCCAGAUGUCACACAUUCUGGGUCGAAAUGCAAAAUAUGCUGGGAGCGUUUCAACUCUGCACGGCUCACGGCGGGUCAAAGGUCACGCACGUCAGCGGGUUGUUUACAAUCAACGCUUCGACUCCGUAAUGAUUUUCAUAGAUUUUAUUAAAAAAAAAAAACAAAAAAAACAACAACUGCCAUAUCAACAUACAGUAACUGCAUUACAAUUUACAAAAUAUAAAAAAAUCUGUACAGUGUCUGGUUUGUGCCGGGGCGUGGGAGGACUCUGGUAGAAAAAUAAAGAACUAAGACAGGAGAACUGUGUGAAGUGUUUAAAUAGACUUCCUUCCUUUGACGUUAGAGACAUUAAAAAAAAAAGAAAAA